rnacentral:lncRNA from 10 species
CACAGCUGGCCAACUGCAAGCUGAAGAAUCAGGAGAGCUAGUAGUGUGAUUCCUGGAGAGGUCAGUAGUGUGGCUUCCAAAGAAGCUGCUAAUGGGGCUCAGCCCAAGUCUGAAAGCUUCCAAACCAGGGAAAUGAAAAAUGUAGCUUCAAGUCUGAGGCUAAAGGCCUGAGUUGCCUAUAGGAGGCAACUAUUGCAAGUUCUAGAGUGCAAAAGCUGAAGAACUUGGACUCUGAUAUUCAAAAACGGGAGGAGAAAAAGGCAUCCUCCUCCAGAAGAUAGAGAAAGAGAAAGCAAAAUUGAGUUUUCCUGCCUCUCUGCUGCAGAUCUGCUGGAGUUUGUAGGAGAUCCACUCCAGACCCUGUUUGCCUGGGUGUCACGAGAGGAGGCUGCAGAACAGAAAAGAUUGCUGCCUGUUCCUUCCUCUGGAAGCUUCGUCCCAGAGGGGCACCUGCCAGAUGCCAGCCAGAGCUCUCCUGUAUGAAGUGUCUGUCAACCCCUGCUGGGAGGUGUCUCCCAGUCAGGAGGCAUGGGGGUCAGGGACCCACUUGAGGAGGCAGUCUGUCCCCUAGCAGAGCUCGAGUGCUGUGCUGGGAGAUAUUCUGGUCUCUUCAGAGCCGGCAGGCAGGAACAUUUAAGUCUGCUGAAGCUGCACCCACAGCCGCCCCUUCCCCCAGGUGCUCUGUUCUAGGGAGAUGGGAGUUUUAUCUGUAAGAUCCUGAUUGAGGCUGCUGCCUUUCUUUCAGAGAUGCCCUUCCUUGAGAGGAGAAAUCUAGAGAGGCAGUCUGGCUACAGAGGCUUUGCUGAGCUGUGAUGGGCUCCACCCCAUUCGAAAUUCCUGGUGGCUUUGUUUACACUGUGAGGGGAAAAAUGCCUACUCAAGUCUCAGUAAUGGCAGACACCCCUCCCUCCACCAAGCUCGAGAGUCCCAGGUGGACUUCAGACUGCUGUGCUGGCAGCGAAAAUUUCAAGCCAGUGGAUAUCAGAUUGCUGGGCUCCAUAUGGGUGGGAUCCACUGAGCUAGACCUCUUGGCUCCCUGACUUCAGCCCCCUUUCCAGCGGAAUGAACGCUUCUAUCUUGCUGGCAUUUCAUGUGCUACUGGGGUGUAAAAAAACUCCUGCAGCUAGCUUGGUGUCUGCCCAAAAGGCCGCCCAGUUUUGUGCUUGAAACCCAGGGCCUUGGUGGUGUAGGCACCCAAGGAAAUCUCCUGGUCUGCGGAUUUUGAAGACCAUGGGAAAUGCGUAGUAUUUGAUCUGGAAUGCACCAAUCCUCACGGCACACUCCUUCAUGGCUUUUCUUGGCUAGGGGAGGGAGUCUCCCGACCCCUUGAACUUCCCGGGUGAUGUGGUGCCCCACCCUGAUUUUGCUCACCCUCCAAGAGGGCUGCACUCACUGUCUAACCAAUCCCAAUGAGACAAGCCAUGUACCUCAGUUAGAAAUGCAGAAAUCAACUGCCUUCUGCCUUGACCUUGCUGGGAGCUGCAGACUGGAGCUGUUCCUAUUCAGCCAUCUUGCCAGCCACCUGAAGUCUUACUUUUAAAACACUUAUAUAAUUUUUAUUAAUGAAUAUAAACUUAAAUUUUAAAACUUAAGAUCCAAUGUGAUAAUGAUAGAGUAAAACAACUUUAUACACUACUAACUGGAGUGCAAAUUGAUUCAACUUUUUUAGAAAGUAAUUUGGUAAUAUGUGGUAAAAUUACUCAGAAAUUCCACUUUUACAAUUUAUCCUGAGGAAAUUAUCAGUGUUGUGCACAAAGAUUUAUAUAAAAGAUAAUCCUUACAAAAUCAUUUAUAAUUGGUAACUAAUUUGAAACAACAUAAAAGUACCAGAUUAAGGGAUUUAAAAAAUAACAUGAUAAAAUCAUCUGUUAGAACACCA